UACGUAGGUGGCAAGCGUUGUCCGGAUUUACUGGGCGUAAAGAGCGCGCAGGCGGUCGUGCAAGUCGCGUGUGAAAGCCCCCGGCUCAACUGGGGAGGGUCACGCGAUACUGCUCGACUUGAAGGCAGGAGAGGAAAGUGGAAUUCCCGGUGUAGUGGUGAAAUGCGUAGAUAUCGGGAGGAACACCAGUGGCGAAGGCGACUUCCUGGCCCAGCACCGACGUUCAGGCACGAAAGCGUGGGGAGCAAACAGG
rnacentral:rRNA from 1 species